UUGUCCAAUAAAUUUGUCUUUUUAGUUCAACUUCUCAAUUUAAUGGCAUGUAUUGUCCAAUAAAGUCAUUUUAAUUCAGCUUCUCAAUUUUUUUUACGUGAGUCUUGCAAUGUUCAUACACUUGACAAAUCUUGCUCUACUAAUUUUGUUAUUUUGUAUCUCUGAUUUCUUAACUUGAGAAAAUCAUUUUCCCGAAUCAUUUUAUAGUUGACUCUUGAUGGCAAUGCUAACAAUCAGAACCUUAUUCAAUUUCAGGAAGUUGAGUAUUCCUGUGGUGGUAUUCCUCUGCACUAAUUAGUUUGAUCUCCUCCAGCAAAUGAGUUUCUUGGACGUUGAAGCGACUACCUGCCUAGCCUGCGGUUAUUUUAUGCUUAUAAGCAAACAUUGAUAGAGUAAAGAUCUUGGCUAACUAUACUAUAUUUACCUGGGGAACUAGUUUUGUUUUAAUCUGGUCUGGUCUGUUGCUCGCUACUAUCAGUUCCACGAUUAAGAGAACGUAGGUAACAAAAGAUAUACUAGUAAUGCAGAUUUCGAGAUACUAAUGCAAGUAUGUUAUGUAAGGAAACGAUUUACAUUGGAACCGCAUCCCAUCUUAUGGUUCAAAUUUAUAUAUGAUAGAACUUGUUGAGUUAUUCCAAUCCAUUUAAAGGAAAUUUCUUGCA
rnacentral:lncRNA from 1 species